GCUUUGGACUUCCUCAGGUACUGGACAAAAUUGGACACCCGGCCUCCCAUCUUGGUUGUUCUUCCCCUGCUGCAUACCCAGACGCCUUGGAUUGACGGCUCCUGUAGACAAUAAAAAUGCAGCAAACAACUAUGAAAAGACAGACUAAAAUGAAAGUGCAUACAAGGGCAACUCCCACAAUGCUCAUACAGCCAACUUCCACAAUGCUCCAAACGACAAAUAAUCAAGAAUGUUCAACUUCCACAGUGCUUUGACACUGCCAGCCGACAACAAUAAUUUUUUUUGUUGCUCAAAUUCUAUUGUGACCGAGAAUGUUCUCAUACCCAG